CUGGUAAAGGGGCGUCUCCUGCACAGGGUCCGGGGUUUGGGGAGUCCCCCGAAGCUGUGCUUGAAACACAGCGCUCCGGCCUGGAGUUACCCGCCGCUCCCGCUCGCCAGCCGCCAGUCAAUGGGAGCUGGGUGCACGGCAGGGAAGUCACUCGGUGCCGGGGAGCGGGUAGGUGAGGGAGAGAGUGAGCCGGAGCGGGGCUAGGGAGGGGAGGGGUGACCGACUGACGCAAGGGAGGAGUGUCGGUGAGAAUCCACGGGCGGGACCAGCCAGGCUGCGAGACUCCGAGCCGCCAAUGAGCGGAGCACAAGCGCGGCUGCCUGUCUUAUUAAUACAGACUGUCUUGGCCGUCUUUACAGCGAGUGUUUGCAGUGUGUACGUCCCAGCUGUGCCCGGGUUUUGGAGGUGAACGCGCAGCUCCAACCUCCGAACAGAGGAAGCGAGAGGGAGAACAGAAGAAAGACUAAAUCUUGCUUUCAACACCAUACACCGAUUGCACGGGAACUACAUCGGGAGUGGGUCGCGACUUACUGCCAGCGGGCAUGAAAGACUGGUUUUAGGACCGUGGCGAGUGAAGUCGACUUCUGUCACAGGCGAAAGGAACAGAAGUGUGAAAAUGCAUAGCUCCAGAUUCAGGUACAGCUUCUUCCCAGAUGUCAUCAGGCAACUGAACCAUCCUGUCAACAACUAGAGAACCGUCCUGAGACACCAUCUACCUCAUUGGAGACUCUUGUACUAAUUUUAAAUCGCAUUUUACUGGACUUUAUCUUGCAUUAAAUGUUAUUCCCUUGAUCCUUUACCUGUAUACUGUGGACGGCUCGAUUAUAAUCAUGUACAGUCUUUCCGCUGACUGCAUAGCAUGCAACAAAACACUUUCACUGUACCUCAUGACAAUAUAAUAAAGUGAACUAAACAAAA